rnacentral:rRNA from 1 species
AUUGAACGCUGGCGGCAUGCUUUACACAUGCAAGUCGAACGGUAACAGGGAGCUUGCUCCGCUGACGAGUGGCGAACGGGUGAGUAAUGCGUCGGAACGUGCCGAGUAGUGGGGGAUAACGCAUCGAAAGGUGUGCUAAUACCGCAUACGUACUGAGGUAGAAAGUGGGGGACCUUCGGGCCUCACGCUAUUCGAGCGGCCGACGUCUGAUUAGCUAGAUGGUGAGGUAAAGGCUCACCAAGGCGACGAUCAGUAGCGGGUCUGAGAGGAUGAUCCGCCACACUGGGAAUGAGACACGGCCCGGACUCCUACGGGAGGCGGCAGUGGGGAAUUUUGGACAAUGGGCGCAAGCCUGAUCCAGCCAUGCCGCGUGUCUGAAGAAGGCCUUCGGGUUGUAAAGGACUUUUGUCCGGGAGCAAAUGCCUGGUGUUAAUAGCAUCGGGAGCUGAGAGUACCGGAAGAAUAAGCACCGGCUAACUACGUGCCAGCCGCCGCCGCCGUAA